UACGUAGGCGACCAGCGUUGUCCGGAUUUACUGGGCGUAAAGAGCGCGCAGGCGGUCGUUCAAGUCGAGUGUGAAAGCCCCCGGCUCAACUGGGGAGGGUCACUCGAUACUGAUCGACUUGAAGGCAGGAGAGGGAAGCGGAAUUCCCGGUGUAGUGGUGAAAUGCGUAGAUAUCGGGAGGAACACCAGUGGCGAAGGCGGCUUCCUGGCCUGUUCUUGACGCUGAGGCGCGAAAGCUAAGGGAGCAAACGGG
rnacentral:rRNA from 1 species